rnacentral:rRNA from 1 species
AGAGUUUGAUCCUGGCUCAGGAUGAACGCUGGCGGCGUGCUUAACACAUGCAAGUCGAACGAUGACCCGGUGCUUGCACCGGUGAUUAGUGGCGAACGGGUGAGUAACACGUGAGUAACCUGCCCUUAACUCUGGGAUAAGCCUGGGAAACUGGGUCUAAUACCGGAUAUGACUCCUCAUCGCAUGGUGGGGGGUGGAAAGCUUUUUUGUGGUUUUGGAUGGACUCGCGGCCUAUCAGCUUGUUGGUGAGGUAAUGGCUCACCAAGGCGACGACGGGUAGCCGGCCUGAGAGGGUGACCGGCCACACUGGGACUGAAGACACCGGGCCCAGACUCCUACGGGGAGGGCAGCAGUGGGGGAAUUAUUGGCACCAAUGGGGCGGCAAGCCCUGAAUGCAGCGACCGCCGCCGUGAAGGAUUGAACGCCUUUCGGGUUUGUAAACCUUCUUUUCAGCAGGGAAAAAACCGAAAGGUGACCGUACCUGGCCAAAGAAACGCCCGCUAACUACGUUGCCCACAGCCGCCGGUAAUACCUAAGGCGCAAGCCUUAUCCGGAAAUUUUGGGCGUAAAAGAGCUCCUAAGCGGUUUGUCGCGUCUGCCGUGGAAAUCCCGGGCUCACUCCCGGAUCUGCGUUAGACUACACCGACAAGACCUAAGUGUAUCUACGUGAGACUGCGAAUUCCUCGUGUAACGGUGUUAAUGCGCCAAUAUCGACGAGUAACACUCGAUGCCGACGGCUAGUCUCUGGGCUAUUAAUCGACCGCUGAGGAGCGACAGCAGUGGCGGAGCGCACAGGAUUAGAUAACCUGGUGUAGUCCAUGGCCGUAAACGCUUGGGACAUUAGAGUGUGUGGGGACAAUUCCACCGUUUUGCCGCGCCGUAGCAUAACGCUAUUAAGUGCUCGCCUCGGGAGUACGUGCCAGCACGUCUAAAACUCAUGAGAGGAAUUGCGGCGGGGCCCCGCACAAAGCGGCGGAGCAUGCGGAUUAUUUCGAUGCAACCGCGAAGAACCUUACCCAAGGCUUGACAUGGACCGGACCCGCCCCCAGAAAGUGGUUUCCCCUUUGGGCCCGGUUCCCAGGUGGUGCAUGGUUGUCGUCAACUUCGUUCGUGAAGAUGUUGGGUUAAGUCCCCCCAACGAGCGCACCCCUCGUUCCAUGUUGCCAGCGCGUAAUGGGCGGGGACUCAUGGGAGACUGCCCGGGGUCAACUCGGAGGAAGGUGGGGACGACGUCAAAUCACCAUGCCCCUUAUGUCUUGGGCUUCACGCAUGCUACAAUGGCCGGUACAAAGGGUUGCGAUACUGUGAGGUGGAGCUAAUCCCAAAAAGCCGGUCUCAGUUCGGAUUGGGGUCUGCAACUCGACCCCAUGAAGUCGGAGUCGCUAGUAAUCGCAGAUCAGCAACGCUGCGGUGAAUACGUUCCCGGGCCUUGUACACACCGCCCGUCAAGUCACGAAAGUUGGUAACACCCGAAGCCGGUGGCCUAACCCCUUGUGGGAGGGAGCCGUCGAAGGUGGGACUGGCGAUUGGGAUUAAGUCGUAACAAGGUAACC